rnacentral:rRNA from 1 species
UACGUAGGGUGCGAGCGUUAAUCGGAAUUACUGGGCGUAAAGCGUGCGCAGGCGGUUCUCCAAGUCCGUUGUGAAAGCCCCGGGCUCAACCUGGGAAUGGCAGUGGAAACUAGGGGACUGGAAUCUGGCAGAGGGGGGUGGAAUGCCGCGUGUAGCAGUGAAAUGCGUAGAGAUGCGGCGGAACACCGAUGGCGAAGGCAGCCCCCUGGGCUGAGAUUGACGCUCAGGCGCGAAAGCGUGGGGAGCAAACAGG